ACGGUCCACAACUAAUCUCAUUGGCUCCCCCUUUCUCCCUCUUCACUUCCAACAUCUAGCAACCGAUCCAGGACCCAGUGGCGGAGGCGAACGAGAAGAGCCCCUUCACCUUACCAUUCGCGUCAGUGGACUUGCCGGUGAACGGGUUUGAAGUUGGAGAUGAAUGUAGAUGUUGAAGAUGGAAGAUGGAGGAACUAAGGAGGCCAAACCAAUGUUAUCAGGUGCUGUGAUGCUGGUUUGUGGAUUUGGUUGUCAUGCGCUUCCCGUCGUAUCCUGAUCUAGGUGGAAUAAUUGACUGAGAUGUGGGUAUACACGAAGGCAAAAAUAGUCAACACUCGAACAUUUGAAGGUCAACGUUUAACAAUUUAAUGGCAGAACACUAGGUAAUUCAUUUUGAAAGCUGAGGAGGUCAAUUGGACCAAAGAAAAGUAUAAGAGACGAGGCUCCUGAGGGUGUAGUUCAGGAAAAAAAUCACGAUUCUGCUAUCACUACAAGCUUCUAGAAAUUUUGAGAUACCAAGGAAAAGCUAGCAAUGAUGCACACACUCACAAUUCCACUAUAAGUAUGAAAUUAUUACAAGCUUCUACAUGGCUUGAGCCUGUGUUAGGAUGGUGGGUACAAGAAAAUCAACUUAUUCUCAGACUGCAUGGGAGCGGUGAACAUGUUAACCUGAUGGUGCAACGAGAGUCACCCUUUCAGAGAUAUCAUAGCAGAUGCAUAGAUCUUGUUCUAUAAAGAUUGGACAAUCAAUGUUCAACACUUGAAACGUGGAGAGAAUGUUUUUGCUAAUUACCUUUUAUAGCUAAUUUGAUUUCAGUAUUAAUUCUAAAAUAAAGAAUAAGGUGAAUAAUUCAAACAAAAUAAAGAGUUGUGAUUUUCUUUCCUA